rnacentral:rRNA from 1 species
UACAGAGGGGGCAAGCGUUAUUCGGAAUUAUUGGGCGUAAAGGGCGCGUAGGCGGCUUGGCAAGUGGAAGGUGAAAUCCCUCGGCUUAACCGAGGAACUGCCCUCCAAACUGCUUUGCUUGAGGCCGGGAGAGGUAAGUGGAAUUCCCAGUGUAGCGGUGAAAUGCGUAGAUAUUGGGAAGAACACCAGUGGCGAAGGCGGCUAACUGGUCCAGAUCUGACGCUGAGGUGCGAAAGCGUGGGGAGCAAACAGG